UGGGGAAUAUUGCACAAUGGGCGCAAGCCUGAUGCAGCCAUGCCGCGUGUAUGAAGAAGGCCUUCGGGUUGUAAAGUACUUUCAGCGAGGAGGAAGGCGGUAAGGUUAAUAACCUUAUCGAUUGACGUUACUCGCAGAAGAAGCACCGGCUAACUCCGUGCCAGCAGCCGCGGUAAUACGGAGGGUGCAAGCGUUAAUCGGAAAUACUGGGCGUAAAGCGCACGCAGGCGGUCUGUCACGUCGGAUGUGAAAUCCCCGGGCUCAACCUGGGAACUGCAUUCGAAACUGGCAGGCUAGAGUCUUGUAGAGGGGGGUAGAAUUCCAGGUGUAGCGGUGAAAUGCGUAGAGAUCUGGAGGAAUACCGGUGGCGAAGGCGGCCCCCUGGACAAAGACUGACGCUCAGGUGCGAAAGCGUGGGGAGCAAACA
rnacentral:rRNA from 1 species